UUAUUUUAGAGCUUAGCUAUUUCUGUAUCUUCAGUACAGUAUUUUAUUUAAAUUACUAAAA
rnacentral:tRNA from 1 species